GACGAACGCUGGCGGCGUGCUUAACACAUGCAAGUCGAACGGAAAGGCCCUGCUUUUGUGGGGUUCUCGAGUGGCGAACGGGUGAGUAACACGUGAGUAACCUGCCCUUGACUUUGGGAUAACUUCAGGAAACUGGGGCUAAUACCGGAUAGGAUCUCCUGCUGCAUGGUGUGGGUUGGAAAGUUUCGGCGGUUGGGGAUGGACUCGCGGCUUAUCAGCUUGUUGGUGGGGUAGUGGCUUACCAAGGCUUUGACGGGUAGCCGGCCUGAGAGGGUGACCGGCCACAUUGGGACUGAGAUACGGCCCAGACUCCUACGGGAGGCAGCAGUGGGGAAUAUUGCACAAUGGGCGGAAGCCUGAUGCAGAAACGCCGCGUGCGGGAUGACGGCUUUCGGGUUGUAAACCGCUUUCGCAUGUGACGAAGAGUGAGUGACGGUAAUGGGUAAAGAAGCACCGGCUAACUACGUG
rnacentral:rRNA from 1 species